rnacentral:rRNA from 1 species
GAUGAACGCUGGCGGCGUGCCUAAUACAUGCAAGUCGAGCGGCAGCACGGUCUUCGGACUGGUGGCGAGCGGCGGACGGCUGAGUAACGCGUAGGAAUAUACCCCAAAGUGAGGGAUAACUGCCCGAAAGGGUGGCUAAUACCGCAUGUGGUCUUCGGACUAAAGCCUUCGGGCGCUUUGGGAAUAGCCUGCGUAAGAUUAGCUAGUUGGUGAGGUAAUGGCUCACCAAGGCGACGAUCUUUAGCUGGUCUGAGAGGAUGACCAGCCAGACUGGAACUGAGACACGGUCCAGACUCCUACGGGAGGCAGCAGUAGGGAAUUUUCCACAAUGGGCGAAAGCCUGAUGGAGCAACGCCGCGUGCAGGAUGAAGGCCCUCGGGUCGUAAACUGCUUUUAUGUGCGAAGAAUAAUGACGGUAACACAUGAAUAAAGGGUCGGCUAACUACGUGCCAGCAGCCGCGGU